UGGUUAAGCUUUAUAGGGCGCAGGGCGGAUGCCUUGGCACUAAGAGCCGAAGAAAGACGUGAUAAGCUGCGAAAAG
rnacentral:rRNA from 1 species